rnacentral:lncRNA from 1 species
GGCGACGGCGUUAUGUCUCUUGAGAACCUGUCCAAAGUAGAACCCCUCCUUGAAGCACGGGUCCGUGGGUUUGUCGGCGCAGGUCUUCGGCCCCGACACGCAGGUCCCUUCUUCCUUGGCGCCGUUGACCUGUCGGAAAAGGUGGCAGUUCGAGGACAUGACCUGGAAGGAGAAGUAGUAGCACUGCGGAUCGCCUGCGCAUUUCGCCUGGCACUGCUCUGCGCUCUUGGCCUCUAUGGAGCUCAGAGGGGUCCCGACAAACAUCUUGUUUUGCAAGAAACACGUCGACGCAGUCGGCGGCACGGCAGAGCCCUCGCCUGGGCACUCCUUCGGUCCAGCCACCGCGUUCAGGCGACUGGAGGGAGUGCCCUUGCUCUUGCUCAAGUAGCACCUGUACAGAUCUGAGCGGUAGGUAAAGAAGUUGCAGGACGCUGUCAGCUUGCAGAGGGUUUGGCAUUCCUUUGGCGAGUCUGCUCCAAGAACGCUCAGAAUGUCACUGACAUACUCCACGUUCAGCUCGGCGCACGACGGCUCGAGGCCGGGGGUCGGGGGAACCGGCAUCGGGUUAGGUCCCGGAUAAGCUGGAGGAAUAGCGUGAUGCGGCGGCAGCGGAGGGGUUGGAACGUGGUUGUGCAGCGGCUGGAACUCAGGGGGCAUCUUGUCAGCGCAGUACCUGCGAAGCGUUUGCACAAACACACAAGACGCGUCCAGAUUGACACCGUCAACGUGGCGCGUGCCCAGCAGUGGAAAACUCGGAGUCACCGUGGCUUUCUCCCCUCUGCAUGCGUUCUAAGCGACGGGGACGGAUGCACGCACGUACCCCCGCGACACUCGACCACGCCCGCUGUUCAAAACAAAAUUUGCAUCUCUCCACGUCUCUCUGAAUCGACUUCGAGGUGUGCGACGUGCCACAGUCUGAACUUCAGCUGUAAUCGGGUGUCGCCUGCCUGGUGGCCUUUAGUGCGAAUGCUAUUUAGGAAGACACAGUGGCCUCGGAAUACUCCGUCGCGUGCUGUGUGUAGAGCACUGAAACGCCUGAUUGUUUUAAAGGAGACGGUUGCUCGCACACUCGCCGACGUCUGCAAAACAUGCACUCUUCUUCCCCUCACAGGAGCGUUCAGUCAGUCUCUUACUUCGACCCGGACAGGGCGUGUCUCCUGGGGAUAGGGGCGUUCGCGGCGAAACUGCCCUUCAGAGCGCACUCCAAGAUGUCUGCCUUGUAGGUGAAGAAGAAGCACGCGGCUUCGGCCUGGCAGAGUUUCUGGCAGGCGUAGGCGUCGUCCGUGACGAUUUGUUUCAGCGUUCCGGUG